rfam:Streptomyces thermoautotrophicus strain H1 H1_chromosome, whole genome shotgun sequence.
GCCCGGGUCCACUUCACUCGGAUCGUCCGGCACGUUCCUGCCGGUGAAGGGACGACAAC